rnacentral:lncRNA from 1 species
UCUCGAUGGACGGCAGCUGCAGGAACUCCUUGCCGGGGGCCAAGACGGCGGGCAGGUCCCGGGCCAGCCCGGCCUCCAGGCUCUGCUCCUAGUCCAGUUUCCAUCUGGGAGCCAAUGCCCAGCUUCCGUGCCAGGACAAAAGUCACAUUUCACAAGUGUCCCGAAGCUGAGGAAAAUUCACAUCCCUAAAGAUCACAAGAAUUCACUGCAAGUAAAUACAUCCCUGCAGUUCAGCAAGACAUCAAGGAUGACAGCUGGCUAUGGAUCUACCAAGCUCUGCAAUGACACUUGUCAAGUAUGGAAAAGCUCAAGGCAUCCUGACAUUACACAACUUUUGAGAGGCUGGGAAACCAAGGGAAAUAUUUCUUCCUCAGGGAGAGAGAUACUGCGGCUGAAGAGCCAAGGCCAGGCCCUCCCAUAAAUGACUCCCUGGAAUGUCAGCCCCCGUUUCUGAAAUCCAGCCACUGGCCCUCUCAGGAGUGAUUUGGUUUCACUCUACUUUAACUCCUGGACAUAGCACAGAAAGCAGAAACCCCUUGCCAUCAGGUGUCAGGCCUGCCAAGGUCACCUCUUCCGGCUCCAGGGAUGCUGAGGAGAUUGCACUGUAACUCCAAACUUCAGGAUCGGGAGCUAAGCCAAGUUCCACAGAGUUUGUUCACUGCCUUGUACUUCCUCCAAGGACGAGUGUUUUGCAAGGGAUCUGAUAACUUCCCAGUUCAAGGAACCUGAGUUUUGGGCGGGCUCUUGACAUAGAAGAUGAGGGUCUCAGGGGCUUAUGGGAAGAAAGGAAGCCAGGACACCACCAUUCGCUUGGAGGCCAAAAACACAAAAGGAUGGUCCACAAGACAGGGGCCAGAAGAUUCUAUGGGCAGCUUGGGAAGAGGGAGAAGAAACAAGGGAGGAAGCUUUAAGUUUGUUCUGGGCACUCUGAAUUUAAGUGUAUACCUCUUACAAGGAAGAAAAGCCACCAGCACCCUCUUCCCACACACUUCAGCCACUUUUCCCACUCACAGUAGAUUCUGGAACUGAAAUCCUGUGAGAUUUAAUUCAAGCCUUGGGCACAGCAGUGGCUAAGAGUGAUCAUUUACAUUUCACCCGGCCUGAGGGAAAACCUCCAAGCAGGAAUCUAAAAUGUUUCACUUGAUUGGGAAGCAGAUACCCUGAGCUCUCUUAGCCUGAACGCUGUCCUUACUCACUUGCACCUGCAGUCCCUUCUUUUUUUCAAGCCAUAACCCUUUUGACCGUUAAAACCCUGUUCAAAACACAUCCUUCAGCCCUUUCCAGCUGUUUCUGUUGCCCAUGGCUCUGGCAAGUAAGAUAAUAAAUGAGGCACUGCUUUGAAAUAUGAAAUGCCCUACAGCUGUGAGCCAACAUUACUGUUAAGACUAUAAGCUCCUUGAGAAAAGAAUCAAGUUUCUCCUUCCUUUAAUUCUCUCCAGUAUCCUGUGCUUGUUAUGUGUAUGGUGACCUUUACACUUUUGGAAAGAGCUUUCAUACAUCACACUGUGUCUUCCCAGCGGCCUUUACAAUUGAUGAAAGUGGGACAGAGAGAUUCAGUAGUUUAUCCAAGGUCACAGAUAAAUGAUGAUGGCUAAUCAAUGACAAGGCCAGAAUUGGAACUCAUGCCUUCUGAAGCCAGUUUAGAGGCCUCCAAAAGUGUAGAGAAACAAUUUCUCAAAGUAGCUGGUGCCAACAUCAGAACCAAAGAGUUUUCAUGCCCUGCGUCAGAAUCUCAGCGAUUGCACUUGCUCCCCAAGUCUCCCCACUCCCAUAUUUCUUCUCUCCAAUAUUUGGCUCUCAGCGACCGCACAGUUCUCUGUGAAACAGACCUCACCUUUGCCCCCAUUCCCCGCUUCCCCAGACAGGUGGUAACCAGAACAACCCAGCCUCCCCUUUCCCCACCUGCAGCCAGGCCUCUGACUUUAAAUGAAAGGAGGUCAUAUUACCAAGCAACUGUUGUUUAUUCUCAGCUGCACAAGCUCCCUUUUCCUACAGACACAAGACACCCAACACCUGUCUAUUACUUCUGGAGACUCAUAAACUACUAUUAUUAUUCAAUUUCCAGGGGAAAACUUUAGUGAAACAUAGUAGCUUCCAGACUAGAUUUCUCCUGGGUACACAUCCAAGUAAAUGUGAACUGGAAGGCGCUGGCACCCCGGACACCUUAUUGCACCUGCUCCAGGAUGCCAAGGCAGGGAACUCCCAAAGACACAGGAAUGUCUCCCCACAACACUGUUGUUGCAAGACAGACAAUCCCCACUCUCAACACUGGGACACAGAGUCUCUCCCCUACACAACAUUCGAACGGCCAAUCCCAACGGUUGGCCCAUUAUGAGGGAAAGAAGCAGGCAGUGAGCAUAGAAGAAGUGGAAUUUGAGGCUGGCAGGGAAGCUGGAAAUACGGACAGAAACGUGGAUGAUGCUGAGAGCAAUGUUGACUGUCUUCAAACACACAAUGAAGGAUGGCCAGAUUUCACUCUGCAGCUCUCAUUUUGCUGCUGAGCAAGAGGAAAUGCAUUUCUGUAGAGUGCAGCAUGGGGGAUUUGGGAUAGAUGAUAAACAUUUACCGAGUGUAAGGCUGGUUAAGGACUGGCCUGAAUGACUAAGACUGGGUAGAGAAUGGCUUUCUCUGUAGGUCUUUUAAAGGUAACUGGAGCCUACUUAGAGGCAGUGGCAGGAAAGAGAUGAUCUCUUAAAGGCCCAGCCCACCCUACUACUGUGGGUCUCUAAGACCCAGAUUGUUUCUUUUUAAAGUAGAAGCAAUUCACUUACACCUAAAACAAAGUCUGUUUGAGCUGACCUGUUACUGGCUCAAAGGCAUUUUGAUCACCGGAUGCUAAACACCUCCCUGAGACCCACAAAUAGCUUUAAUAUCUUGCACUGGUGAACUAGAAAUACAGGGAUCAAUUACCAGGAUGGUGCUGAAGCAAGGAAGUGAGGGUUCGGGGAUGAAGACAGGAGAAAGAAUUGGAGGGAAUAACUUAAACUCCUCCCCAUGGUAUCUCCUUUUGUUUCUUUCACGAGUCCUCCCUUCAUUUCCCCAGGGAGGGGCUCACUACUUUAAGAAGGGUCAGAGGAUGCUGCACUGAAUUGGUGUGGUUAGAGAAGCAGUGUGGAGGAGGAGGCUGGUGCUGGUUAAAUACAACCUAAAUCAAACCACAGUUGACCAACCACCACAUCCAGCUUCUCCUUCCAAGGAAAAAGGGAGAAAAUGCUUCAGGACUUUGAUGGAGACUCAGUUUCCGAGAAUAGAGCCCUGGGCAGUGCUCUCAACCUUGGGGAGUACACAGGGUCAGCUCUUUGUUUCCAACAGCCCUCACAGGGGCCAGGGUGAGCAGUGACGUCACCUCAGGAGAAGGACUGUCACCAGAUAAGCCUCCUUGGUUUAAUCGCUCAUCAAAAGGCUUAGGCGUCAAAGAAGAAUGUUUUGCACAAUAUUUGGCUGCCCUUGUACUUGACACCAAGGAUACCAAGGCACAGAAGGACAUCAUCUCUUGUCCUCUAAAUCUUGCAAGGACUUAUGUGCAAACCAGGGCUGCAAAAGACUUUCUGAGGUCGCCCCACCUGUCCUUGGCUGCCCAUCCCAAGGAAAGCAGGUGGCAUGUGCUGGAAUUUCUGCUGUUGCUUUCCUCAGAAGCAUUGCAAAAUAUCAUCAGCUUAUACUAACUACCGACUAGUGAUUGAGUGUGCAGACCCAAAAUCAAGCCACCUGAGUUUUGGACCUGUUUCCAUCACUUGCUAGCAGUUUUAUUACGGUUAAGUUAUUUAACUUCUCUGCAACUCAGUUUCUCAUCUGAAAAAUUAAGUAAAUAAAUAGCAUCUC